rnacentral:lncRNA from 1 species
CGACUUCCCUGCUGCCAUACUUGAACAAGCUUCAGUUCAUUUGAGACUUCAUUAACAGGAGAGAAAGAGCUGCCCAACUUCCGCCAAAUCCUCAAGGUAAGCUUCGGCUUGAACGUUUCCACCUCCUGCCAUAACCUCCACCUGCAUUUUAAAGCAAUAACACCUUCAUUGUAUUUCAGUUAUUCCCCAUCUCAAUCAUCAAUACCACAACAGCCAACCAACAAGCUAGAUACUCAAGGUAUUUAUGCGACCUCAGUUAUUCAAUCCAGUUUGCAUUCAUACCAUCAAACAUGAUCAGAUUCAAAUGAUAGAAGACCUAUAUAAGCAUAAUGGACUUAGCAGCGAAGUUACACUUCAUAAUGCAGAACACCAGUUACAUUUAUUUUAUGUAAGAAUUAGUGUGUAGAACUCGAGCAACUCAACAUACUAAGCAC